rnacentral:rRNA from 1 species
UUAUGCUGAUAAGAGCGUAUGGUGGAUGCCUUGGCACUAAGAGCCGAUGAAAGACGUGAUAAGCUGCGAAAAGCUUCGGGGAGGAGCAAAUAUCCUUUGAUCCGGAGAUAUCUGAAUGGGGAAACCCACUUGAGCAAACCUCAAGUAUCCUUAAGCCAAUACAUAACUUAAGGAAGGGAACCCGGUGAACUGAAACAUCUAAGUAGCCGGAGGAAGAGAAAACAACAUGUGAUUCUGUGAGUAGCGGCGAGCGAAAACGGAAGAGCCCAAACCAGCGUGCGUGCAUGCUGGGGUUCGGACCGCGGAAUUGAUUCAACGAGUUUAGCAGAACGGUUUUGGGAAAGCCGGCCAGAGAGGGUGAAAGCCCCGUAAGCGAAAGACGAGUUGACAUGGCGGGAUCCAGAGUACCACGAGACACGUGGAACCUUGUGGGAAGAUGCGGGGACCACCCCGUAAGGCUAAAUACUACUUAGUGACCGAUAGCGCAUAGUACUGUGAAGGAAAGGUGAAAAGGACCCCGGGAGGGGAGUGAAAGAGAACCUGAAACCCUGUGUUUACAAGCUGUGGAACAUCAUUAUUCGAUGAACCGCGUACUUUUUGUAGAACGGUCCGGCGAGUUACGCUUACUGGCAAGGUUAAGCACUGAAGGUGCGGAGCCGGAGGGAAACCAAGUCUGAAUAGGGCGAUGAGUCAGUAGGAGUAGACCCGAAACCGGGUGAUCUAUCCAUGUCCAGGUUGAAGCUGCCGUAAGAGGUAGUGGAGGACCGAACCCACAUCCGUUGAAAAGGGUGGGGAUGAGGUGUGGAUAGGGGAGAAAUUCCAAUCGAACCCGGAGAUAGCUGGUUCUCCUCGAAAUAGCUUUAGGGCUAGCCUCAUACGAGUCUUGCGGAGGUAGAGCACUGAAUUCUUAAGGGGGCGUCAAAGCUUACUAAGAGAUAUCAAACUCCGAAUGCCGCGUAGAUGAUGUAUGGGAGUCAGACUGCACGAGAUAAGUUGGGUAGUCAAAAGGGAAAGAGCCCAGACCUACAGCUAAGGUCCCAAAAUGUGUGUUAAGUGGAAAAGGAUGUGGGAUUUCGAAGACAACUAGGAUGUUGGCUCAGAAGCAGCCAUCCAUUAAAAGAGUGCGUAAUAGCUCACUAGUCGAGAGGUCCUGCGCCGAAAAUGUCCGGGGCUGAAACACACUACCGAAGCUUAGGAAUUAACGAAUGUUAAUUGGUAGAGGAGCAUUCUUAAAGAGACGAAGCUGUACCGAAAGGAGCAGUGGAUUUUUAAGAAGAGAGAAUGCCGGAAUGAGUAGCGAGAGGAAGGUGAGAAUCCUUCCGGCCGAAUAUCUAAGGUUUCCAGCGUAAAGCUGAUCUGCGCUGGGUAAGUCGGGGCCUAAGGCGAGGUCGAAAGACGUAGUCGAUGGAUAACAGGUUGAAAUUCCUGUACUAUGAUAUAACAGAACUGUGGGGACGCAGGGAGAGAGCGCGAGCCGGGAACGGAAAGCCCGGCGCAAGCGAGGUACCGGUCUGUCAGGAAAAUCCGGCAGGCAACGGGAAGACGUGAUGCGGACCGAAAAAGAGUAGGGAAGAGCGUGAGCUAACUGCCAAGAAAAGCCGCUAUUGUUUAUAUCAUACCCGUACCGUAAACCGACACAGGUGGAUGAGGAGAGAAUCCUAAGGCCGACGGGAGAAGCAUUGUUAAGGAACUCGGCAAAAUGACUCCGUAACUUCGGGAGAAGGAGUGCCAGUGAGAGCUGGCCGCAGAGAAUUGGCCCAAGCAACUGUUUAGCAAAAACACAGGUCUAUGCAAAACCGUAAGGUGAAGUAUAUGGGCUGACGCCUGCCCGGUGCUGGAAGGUUAAGGGGAGAGGUUAGCGCAAGCGAAGCUUUGAACUUAAGCCCCAGUAAACGGCGGCCGUAACUAUAACGGUCCUAAGGUAGCGAAAUUCCUUGUCGGGUAAGUUCC